rnacentral:rRNA from 1 species
CCUACGGGUGGCAGCAGUGGGGAAUAUUGGGCAAUGGGCGCAAGCCUGACCCAGCAACGCCGCGUGAAGGAAGACGGCUUUCGGGUUGGAAACUUCCUUUAAGAGGGAAGCGCAUAAGACGGUACCUCUUGAAUAAGCCACGGCUAACUACGGGCCAGCAGCCGCGGUAAUAAGUAGGUGGCAAGCGUUGUCCGGAUUUACUGGGGGUAAAGGGCGUGCAGCCGGGAAGACAAGGCAGAUGUGAAAUCCCGCGGCUCAAACGCGGACGUGCAUUUGAAACUGAUGUUCUUGAGUACCGGAGAGGUAAGCGGAAUGCCUGGUGUAGCGGUGAAAUGCGUAGAUAUAAGGAAGAACACCAGUUGCGAAGGCGGAUGACUGGACGGCAACUGACGGUGAGGCGCGAAAGCGUGGGGAGCGAACAGGAUUAGAUACCCCUGUAGUC